rnacentral:rRNA from 1 species
UGGGGAAUAUUGCACAAUGGGCGCAAGCCUGAUGCAGCCAUGCCGCGUGUGUGAAGAAGGCCUUCGGGUUGUAAAGCACUUUCAGCGAGGAGGAAGGUGGUGGACUUAAUACGUUCAUCAAUUGACGUUACUCGCAGAAGAAGCACCGGCUAACUCCGUGCCAGCAGCCGCGGUAAUACGGAGGGUGCAAGCGUUAAUCGGAAUUACUGGGCGUAAAGCGCACGCAGGCGGUUUGUUAAGUCAGAUGUGAAAUCCCCGGGCUCAACCUGGGAACUGCAUUUGAAACUGGCAAGCUAGAGUCUCGUAGAGGGGGGUAGAAUUCCAGGUGUAGCGGUGAAAUGCGUAGAGAUCUGGAGGAAUACCGGUGGCGAAGGCGGCCCCCUGGACGAAGACUGACGCUCAGGUGCGAAAGCGUGGGGAGCAAACAGAUUAGAUACCCUGGUAGUCACGCUGUAAACGAUGUCGAUUUUGGAGGUUGUGCCCUUGAGGCGUGGCUUCCGGAGCUAACGCGUUAAAUCGACCGCCUGGGGAGUACGG